rnacentral:rRNA from 1 species
UACGUAGGGUGCAAGCGUUGUCCGGAAUUAUUGGGCGUAAAGAGCUCGUAGGCGGUCUGUCGCGUCUGCUGUGAAAACUCAGGGCUUAACCCUGAGCUUGCAGUGGGUACGGGCAGACUAGAGUGCGGUAGGGGAGACUGGAAUUCCUGGUGUAGCGGUGAAAUGCGCAGAUAUCGGGAGGAACACCAGUGGCGAAGGCGGCACUCUGGGCCAGUAUUGACGCUGAGGAGCGAAAGCGUGGGGAGCGAACAGG